rnacentral:rRNA from 1 species
CGGGAGGCAGCAGUGGGGAAUUUUGGACAAUGGGGGAAACCCUGAUCCAGCAAUGCCGCGUGUGCGAAGAAGGCCUUCGGGUUGUAAAGCACUUUUGUCAGGGAAGAAAUCCUUUGGGCUAAUACCCUAGGGGGAUGACGGUACCUGAAGAAUAAGCACCGGCUAACUACGUGCCAGCAGCCGCGGUA